UGGGGAAUAUUGGACAAUGGGCGCAAGCCUGAUCCAGCCAUACCGCGUGGGUGAAGAAGGCCUUCGGGUUGUAAAGCCCUUUUGUUGGGAAAGAAAUCCAGCCGGUUAAUACCUGGUUGGGAUGACGGUACCCAAAGAAUAAGCACCGGCUAACUUCGUGCCAGCAGCCGCGGUAAUACGAAGGGUGCAAGCGUUACUCGGAAUUACUGGGUGUAAAGGGUAUGUAGGCGGCCCUUCAAGUCGCGUGUCAAAGUCCAGUGCUCAACGCUGGGUGUGCACGCGAUACUGACGGGCUUGAGGGCUGGAGAGGUGAGCGGAAUUCCCGGUGUAGUGGUAAAAUACGUAGAGAUCGGGAGGAACACCAGCGGCGCAGGCGGCUCACUAGACAGUUUCUGACGCUAAGAUACGAAAGCGUGGGGAGCAAACA
rnacentral:rRNA from 1 species